GUAUCAUUCAGCUGCAUAUACACUAAAGUUGGAAUGAUACAGAGAAGAUCAGCAUAGCCACUGUGCUAGGCUGGUAUGCACUCUUGUGGUGCAGUGGUAGUAUAC